GAUGAACGCUGGCGGCGUGCUUAACACAUGCAAGUCGAACGAGAAGUGAAGACGGAAACGUUCUGGCGGAAGGCUGAAUGGCGAGGUGCGGCGUGGGGAAUAACGCGUGGGUAACCUGCCACAUACAGGGGGAUAACAGUUGGAAACGACAGGUAAUACCGCAUAAGACCACAGCAUGGCAUGGUUCGGGGGUAAAGACUGCGGUGGCAGGAGAUGAACUCGCGUUUGAUUAGCUAGUUGGCGGGGUAACUGCCCACUAGAGCGACGGUGGGUAGCCGAGGUGGGGGGAGGGCCGGCCACAUUGGGACUGAGACACGGCCCAGACUCCUGCGGGAGGCAGCAGUGGGGAAUAGUGCACGAUGGGGGAAACCCUGAUGCAGCGACGCCGCGUGAGUGAAGAAGUAUUUCGGUAUGUAAAGCUCUAUCAGCAGGGAAGAAAAUGACGGUACCUGAGUAAGAAGCCCCGGCUAACUACGUG
rnacentral:rRNA from 1 species